GUCUAUGGCCACACCACCCUGAACAUGCCCAAUCUCGGAAGCCAAGCAGAGUCGGGCCUAGUUAGUACUUGAAUGGGAGAGAGCGAGGGAGAGAGAGAGGGAGAGAGACA
rnacentral:rRNA from 1 species